CUUUUAAUCCCUUUGGCAGCCUGGUAUUCACAACCUGAAAUCAAGCCUUAAACUUGCUUAAACCCAUGGCCCCAAAAAGGACCUGAGCUAGAGGAGCAAGAGUCUGAGCAGUUGCCUUACCUGGGGCAGCGGCUGUAAAGGUCUUUGUUGCUGUUGCUGCCAUAUUAAUGACCCAGCUUGGGGCGCUGCCGCCGCCGCCGCCGGCCGCUUCUUCCAAAGAAAACAAAUCAAACAUUCAGGAACACAUUACAGAACAUGAAGAGGGAACCAAGGAUUCUGGAGAGAUGAACAUCAAAUUCCCAGAGACCUCAAAUGUUCUGUUUGGAGAAACCAACUUGGAAACAAACCUAUGUUAAACUCUAUGCGACCAGAGAUUGGCCGUGUCUUCCUCUGUCACUUCUGGCAUAUACCAUGAACUAAGAACAUUUUUUUGAUGGUUGAUUAUUGGCCUAUGGGAAGGAGGAAGAAGGGAAAGGAGAAGGUCAAGGGAUAUUUUGGAAAUUUUCUAAUGUUUCUUAAAUGAGUAGGAUAUUUAAAAAAAAUAAAUGGUGUGAGUUUAUGGAAUCA
rnacentral:lncRNA from 1 species